rnacentral:lncRNA from 1 species
UAAUUUAUUUCUUUAAAUGCGUGUUACAAUGUGUAUUACAAAUAAUCAGACCCCCUUUAUAUAGUAGGGGAAUCCUACUUUAGAUACCAUUCUACAAAAGGUAAGAAAUCUCAUGAUUUGCUAAUUAGUCAGUUUCUCAUUGACACGUGCCGAGAUUUUUGCCGUGAUAUCUGAUCGGUUACGGAUAUUUCGGCUUUCCGUUAUUUUGUCCGAUAGUGUUUCCUCAAGCUUGAUCGGAGUCGGCGUCGGUUCCGGAGCUACGGGCUCGAUGAUCAUGAAGACACAUGCUUUAACUUCGUACCUUGGUUUGACAUAAUCCGGAGUCGAUCUUUAACCUAUCAUGUUUCAGCCCCGAUCUGUCAUGCAAUAGAUGAGCCCGGUUUCGACCAUAUAUAAUCCCAAAUGUAAAAUACCCCUCAUAUGUAAAAGAUUUUAGGCCUAUUCCUGUUGUAUAGUCAUUUAUAAGAUCAUCUAUAAUAUCUUAACAAACAAAUCGAAAGGGUUUAUGGAUUAUUUGGGGGAUAAUAGCCAAUUAGGGCGUCAAACCUCCCUUUUCCCGAGAGGGAUAAGACAGUUUUUCCAAUUAAAGUGACAUGAAUCAAAAUGGGAUUAUUUAAUUGAUCAGAGUUGCCAGUUGGAAUAAUUUAUGGUGUCCCAAAUCACCAGUUUAUUUUAAAUCCCAAAUCGAGGAAAAUUGACUCUAUUUUUGGUCCGCGAACACAGAAGACCAGGUAAAGAAUUCUGUUAACCCAGGAGAAGGUGUUAUGCAUUUUCGGGUUCCGUGGUUUUAGCACGGUUGCUCAACUAUUAAUAAUUGGCCUAAUUAUCUGAUUUAUUUCAUGUGUUUAAACCUAUUGUGUAAUUUUUAACUUUUAUAACCGCUUUUAUUUAUUUAUGGAGUUAUUUCUGGAACAAGUCACGAUUGUCGUACACUUGUCAUUUUGGUACACAUUGCAAACCGCGCCAUAUGAAAUGCACCCGCGAUUUACGACAUAUUUAUUUUUAUUAUUAUUUGAAGUUAUGAUCGGGUCACAUGAAAUGCACACCCGAAAUUAGAUUUAUAUAUCGCAACUAUGCCAUGGGAAUCGUACUCAUAGCCACGAUGAUUUAUUAUUAAUUGCGCCUAAAGCAACUAGCGCCUUUGAAUUAUUUUCCUAAUCUUUGAGAUUGUUGUAAUGCCGAAUUUAUGGACAAGAUAAUAUUGGGGAGUAAAUAGGCUAGCUAGCAUGAUCUAUUAUUUGGCCCAAAUUCCUUUUGGUUCGAGACCCACAUUAUGGCCCAUAUGAAUGCUUUAAGCAACUUAGGCCCAAAUCUUUUAAGACUAAUUGACCAUACCAUCCUAGCAAUUUGUAUGGAUAAACAAAUGGAGCAGUAAAACCAAUGUGAAACCUGGAAACAAACUAUUUCUCUAAACCACACACUUUCAAAAUUAAAUUGAAUCUAACAAAUAAGAAAACAUAAUGGAAAAAAAAUUGUAUCAAAAGCAGCGACAAUCAUGAAAGAAAAACAAAGUUAUCAUGCUUUCUAUUUCAAGAACAAAUAAGGUGAGAUCUGGGAAUAAAGUUCACAAAUUGACAAAUCAAACUAGCCUCAAAACUCAAUGUAUCAUCAAGAAUACCAUAAAGCUAUAAUAAAGAUGAAGGAAAAUUGAUGGAUUGCAAAUUUACCAUACAAAUAGGCACUAACAGAGACAAGUAACACCAUUAAUAAGAUGGAAGUUAAAGAAAGAACCUCAUAUUUCGAUUCACAAAUGUCAAUACUGUCGGAAUACAAGAAUUGACAUACGAGCUGACAAUCAAGAUUCUGGACUGAACCUUUCGCCGGCAACCUUGAACCUCGACUUAAACUCGGCGGAGCAAAAGAAAAGCGCCUCUGUUUUUGACAUUGAGAACUAAUUCGAGAAAGAGAUCCGUUCUGAAGAGAAAUACCAUCACAACAUAGGAUAUCUUUAAGGUUGCAGACAAAACCUCUUAUCCCUCUUGGAUUUUUGGAUUAUAGCAAGACUUGCUUCAAACUGGAAUGAACACUUUUUGACCAAGUGAAAGAGAUUUUAGCAUGGUCAGAAGGCAUUGGCAUCAAUUUGGCAAACAAUUAAAUGAAUCACUGGAAGUGAUGGGAAAUUUUGAUAAAAAAAAUGACAAGAAGAAGAAGAGGUGUUGGAUUUUAGAUGAGCAACUGCUCUCUUAGCUAUAUUUUUUUAUUCUUAAGGUGUCUCCAUGUGAGGGGUGCGGCUGCUUUCUUUUGGUGGAGGAAAAUUUGAUCUAUUUUUAGGUCUUUUUUGUGUGUAGAUAUACAGGUGUUGAUACAGAGAUUAAUU